CCCAUGCCAACUGCAACGCAAAACUGAAGACAACGAAGAACGAGCACGAUGGCGCAGCCGUCCGCUGUGAGCGCGCGCGUACUGCCGAAAAGGAGACACAUUUGCCGCUUCCAAUGUCCAGUAGCCGCGCCUGUGAUGACGCAGUCCCCAGCACAAGCCGCGCGGGCAUGGAGGCAGCUGCGUUCGCUGGAAACAACGUGAGGGAUGCUACUGGCUCCACACAUAGGGGAAAACGCGAAGAUAUCAGCGGCGUCUACAAUGACGUCAACCACGGCACGAAAACAUCAGGGGAACGAAGCCACAAGUGCGAAGUAUGCGGCAAUUCAUUUAAAAGGAA
rnacentral:lncRNA from 1 species